rnacentral:rRNA from 1 species
CCUACGGGAGGCAGCAGUGGGGAAUAUUGGACAAUGGGGGGAACCCUGAUCCAGCCAUGCCGCGUGUGUGAAGAAGGCCCUCGGUUUGUAAAGCACUUUCAGUGAGGAAGAACGCCUGGUGGUUAAUACCCAUCAGGAAAGACAUCACUCACAGAAGAAGCACCGGCUAACUCCGUGCCAGCAGCCGCGGUAAUACGGAGGGUGCGAGCGUUAAUCGGAAUUACUGGGCGUAAAGCGCGCGUAGGUGGCUUGAUAAGCCGGUUGUGAAAGCCCCGGGCUCAACCUGGGAACGGCAUCCGGAACUGUCAAGCUAGAGUGCAGGAGAGGAAGGUAGAAUUCCCGGUGUAGCGGUGAAAUGCGUAGAGAUCGGGAGGAAUACCAGUGGCGAAGGCGGCCUUCUGGACUGACACUGACACUGAGGUGCGAAAGCGUGGGUAGCAAACAGGAUUAGAUACCCUGGUAGUC